rnacentral:lncRNA from 1 species
GUAGGAAGUGAGGGAGUAAGGGUGGCAGGAUGGAGUGGGCUUUGUGGAAAGUUAGAAAAGACUUUAUAGAGAAGACAAAGCUGGCAUAGCCUUAACAAAUAAAGUGUUGACCAACUAGAAAACACAGGUAAAAGUAUUUAAGUAGAGAGGAGAGCAGCGCAACAAAUGUAAAGAGGGAUGAAACACGCUGUUGUGUUUGGGGAACUACUAGUGGCUCAACAAAGCUGGAAGUGGAUGCUGCAGCAAGAAUUGGAGCUGGACAGGUAGGACAGAAUUGAAGUAAAUAGCGCAAGGACCAAUGCUGACCUCACGGUGGCACUCCAGACUUCGAAUAAAGGGCUCUCUGGACUCAUCUUAUUUGACCUCCAAAUGGACAGUCCACAUUGAAGUGAAGAGUUGACAUGAACUCUGGGCCCAUAGACCCCACAGUUUAAUUUCCUGAAGAGAAUCUACCAAGGACUUUGCUUUUCUGUUUUUAAAUCAGCUCUGACGUAAGGCUGGAUCAAUAGAAUAGGUGUCAAGUAUGCCAGAAUGUCUCCAUCCGUAAAAAAUUUCAUCAGGGUUCAAAAGUAACCAAAAUAAUUUCACCAUUAUUAUUUAUUAAUAGA